rnacentral:lncRNA from 1 species
CCAAUCCCGCGCCCCUCACCUGCGCCAUAUGAUGGCCUCGCUGCCCACGCCGCACGCUGCGCCCGCCUGCUACGCCUCCUCGGCUUGUUGGCCUCGCGGCCCGCGCCGCCCGCCCGCUCCGCCGCCAGCGCGCCCCCAGCUUCGCCCGUCUGCUCCGCCACCUCGGCUCGCCGCCCGCCUGCGCCCCCUCCCGCGCCACCCGCAUGCACCGCCUCACGCGCCGCGCGCCGCACAAUCGCCAGGACGCCCGCGCCCCCCCACGUGCGUUGCCUCCCGCGCCGCCCGCAUCUGUAGCCUCCAUGCUCCUACCGCCGUCGUCAUGGUCGCUGCUGGCAGCUUCCCCCAUUGCUCCGGUAGGAAGAAGAUGAGGGGGUCCAAGGAAUAAAAGGAAACGGGGGAGAUAAGGACUAGUGGGACCCGCAGGUCAGAGAGAGGGGGAGAGGGAGGGUUAACGGGCCGGGUCGGGUUCGGAUCCGACGUGGCACUGGCAGUGGGCCCCACCUGUAAGGAAACGUGUCAAAUCCGCUUAACCUUUUCCUCCACGGCCAUUAUAUAUUUCCAAGUCUAUAAUUAAUUUUUAUGGUUUAUGUUUAUCUGAUGUAGUUGCAAUGGUUUUGGAAUGUAAGAUUUAGAGAAAAACUCAUUUGCAUGGGUGAAUACAUAAAGACCAUAAUAAGUUCUUAGUCAUGUCUCUAUGACUAACUCAGAAAUUACUGAUGGCUUUGUUUUCCUGGUGAUCAGCAUAUGGAUGAUGGU